rnacentral:rRNA from 1 species
UACGUAGGGUGCGAGCGUUAAUCGGAAUUACUGGGCGUAAAGCGUGCGCAGGCGGUCUGUUAAGACAGAUGUGAAAUCCCCGGGCUUAACCUGGGAACUGCAUUUGUGACUGGCAGGCUAGAGUAUGGCAGAGGGGGGUAGAAUUCCACGUGUAGCAGUGAAAUGCGUAGAGAUGUGGAGGAAUACCGAUGGCGAAGGCAGCUCGCUGGGACGGUACUGACGCUGAGGCGCGAAAGCGUGGGGAGCAAACAGG